rnacentral:rRNA from 1 species
UAAAUCAGCCGGCCCUUACAUCCGGGGGACACACGUGUUACAAUGGUGGGGACAAAGGGCAGUACCUGGCGACAGGAUGGAAUCUCCAAACCCCAUCUCAGUUCGGAUCGGAGUCUGCAACUCGACUCCGUGAGGCUGGAUUCGCUAGUAAUCGCGCAUCAGCCAUGGCGCGGUGAAUACGUUCCCGGGCCUUGUACACACCGCCCGUCAAGCCAUGGGAGUUGGGGGUACCUGAAGUCCGUAACCGCAAGGAGCGCCCUAGGGUAAAACUGGUGAUUGGGGC